CAGUAGCCACGGUAAAACGAAGGGGGCUAGCGUUGUUCGGAUUUACUGGGCGUAAAGGGCGCGUAGGCGGACUGAUAAGUCAGGGGUGAAAUCCCAAGGCUCAACCUUGGAACUGCCUUUGAUACUGUUUGUCUUGAGUUCGAGAGAGGUAAGUGGAACUGCGAGUGUAGAGGUGAAAUUCGUAGAUAUUCGCGAGAACACCAGUGGCGAAGGCGGCUUACUGGCUCGAAACUGACGCUGAGGCGCGAAAGCGUGGGGAGCAAACAGGAUUAGAUACCCGAGUAGUCCCUGUCUCUUAUAC
rnacentral:rRNA from 1 species